rnacentral:rRNA from 1 species
AUGUGGUGUGUUUGUCUAAAUAUCAGACUACAGCUCUUUAUAAGCCCUUCUAAAACGAGAGGAAAGAAAAUCCUAUAUGGGCUCAAGGCCCAGUCAGACAAGGGGUGGCCCUCGGUCGCUCCUUGCGCCGCUGUAGGCUGUGCUCAAACCCUGUUUUUCUUCUGUUCCCCUCACCAAAGCCUUCCUCUGGUCUUCCCAACAAAGGCUACUGCCGUCGCUGCUGCUGGUGGCUACCCCCGACCUUGCGCCGCUGUAGGCUGUGCUCAAACCCUGUUUUUCUUCUGUUCCCCUCACCAAAGCCUUCCUCUGGUCUUCCCAACAAAGGCUACUGCCGUCACUGCUGCUGGUGGCUACCCCCGACCUUGCGCCGCUGUAGGCUGUGCUCAAACCCUGUUUUUCUUCUGUUCCCCUCACCAAAGCCUUCCUCUGGUCUUCCGAACAAAGGCUACUGCCGUCGCUGCUGCUGGUGGCUACCCCCGCCGUGACCCGUGA